CGUCUCUUUUUAAUCUUCCGUCCGGGCUUCGCUUGGGCUCGAUGUCACGCUUUGUUCUUCGUUUCUCUUCGAUCGGCAGAGACAAUAGUAACGGAAGGCGUUGUGGUUUCUGUAUCGAGAUCUUCAGUUGCGUUGGUCAGACGGCGUAUAAAUAGAACUUCUUUGGAGUCAUGUACCACAACAGAGAGGAGCAAGACCAGAAUAACUUCUUUGGAGUCAUGUACCCUGCGAUACUGUUUCUUGGUGCACCAACAACCCGAUAUUGUCAUUAAGCGUACUGUUUCUACCGUGAUCUUCGAUGUAGAUGUGGUGAAGUAUUCGGUGGCACAGGAUCAUUCUCCAGAGAAGUUCGGGGUGACGCAUCGGUUUGUUGUCGUACUCUUCGGGGACACACCAGAAAGGUUUGUGAGAAGUUUCAUCUUAUUGAGAGCUCUGCAAAGUAUAUCUUUUUAUUCCUCAAGUAUGCUUCUUUAGAGGAUUGUUGUUUUUCUGCAGGCUACAGGUAUAUAAUUUCUUUCUUCGAUGAUUUUCGUUUAUGUAUCUAAACCACACUGUUUCACCCAUAUUACUGCUAAGGAGUUUAAAGAUAAUUUCACUAGAAGAAAGUCAUCUAUAAAGUUGAUGAUCCAAAGCAAGCUUGCCAAAUUAUCAAAAGCGGUGGAUGGAGGAGAGGAAGAGGAGAAAAAAGAAGCAUUGGUAUGAACUUUUGUUGUUUUCUUUUGUCCAUGUCUACCGAUCUCAGAUUUCAUAACUGAUAGAGGCGCUAGAGAUGAUAUGCGCUAGGGAUGAGUUUUUUUCCUACAAAUAUAUAGGAGGCUUGGGAGCCAUCAAUUGAAAUGACUGCAGUUGGUCUGGCGUCCACAACCUCUCUGCUCCCGAAAUCUACCAAAGCAACUAACAAUGCACGCAUAGCCUUAAGUUGAAAAGAACGUGCUUAUAACCAGAGCAGCAUCUGAUAGAAUAAUGCUUAAUCCAAAAAAAAAAGAAUAAUGCUUAAUCAUAGUAUUUUAACUAUCUUCACCUGUUUUUUUCUAAAUUUCGACAAUCAUAUUUGAAUGUUUUCUUAACGCCAAACCGAAUCAUAUUUGAAUUACAUUA